ACGCUCGACACCUACUGGAGGCAGCAGUGGGGAAUAUUGCACAAUGGGGGAAACCCUGAUGCAGCGACGCCGCGUGAAGGAAGAAGUAUCUCGGUAUGUAAACUUCUAUCAGCAGGGAAGAAAAUGACGGUACCUGACUAAGAAGCCCCGGCUAACUACGUGCCAGUAGCCGCGGUAAUCUGAGCGGGCUGGCAAGGC
rnacentral:rRNA from 1 species